rnacentral:rRNA from 1 species
AAGAAAGAUGUGAAAUCCCAGGGCUCAACCUUGGAACGGCAUUUUUAACUGCCGAGCUAGAGUAUGUUAGAGGGGGGUAGAAUUCCAUGUGUAGCGGUGAAAUGCGUAGAUAUGUGGAGGAAUACCGAUGGCGAAGGCAGGCCCCCGGGAUAAUACUGACGCUCAGACACGAAAGCGUGGGGAGCAAACAGGAUUAGAUACCCUGGUAGUCCACGCCCUAAACGAUGUCAACUAGCUGGUGGGGCCCUUAGGCAUUGGUAUUGCAACUUACGCCUGAAGUUCACCCCCCGGGGAAUACCGGCCCCAGAGUAAAACUCAAAGGAAUUGACCGGGACCCCCACAAACCGUGGAAGAUGUGGAUUAAUUCUAUGCCACCCCAAAAACCUUUCCUACCCCUGACAUGCCUGGAAAUUUGAAGAAAAUUUGGCCGGCCUCGCAAGAGAACCUGAACACAGGUGCUGCAUGGCUGUCGUCAGCUCGUGUCGUGAGAUGUUGGGUUAAGUCCCGCAACGAGCGCAACCCUUGUCCUUAGUUGCUACCCAUUAGCACUCUAAUGAGACUGACAGUGACAAACCGGAAGAAGGUGAGGAUGACGACGACUCCUCGUGGUCCUUAUGGGUACGACUUCGGAUAUCCUACUGUGGUCGGGACAGAUGGUCACCGAACCGACAGGGGAGAGCCAAUCUCAGAACUCCUGAUCGUCGUCCGGAUCCCAAUCUGCGUCUCGACUGCGUGUACUUGGAAUCGCUAUCAAUCGCAGAUCAGAAUGACACGGUGAAUACGUUCCCGGGUCUUGGACACGCCGACCGUCCACCCUGGGAAUGGGAUUCACUUGAAAUAGGUAUACGAACCUUAACGAGGGCGAUUACCACGGCGGGAUUCAUGACUCGGGUGA